rnacentral:rRNA from 1 species
UACGAAGGGGGCUAGCGUUGCUCGGAAUCACUGGGCGUAAAGCGUGCGUAGGCGGGUUCUUAAGUCAGAGGUGAAAUCCUGGAGCUCAACUCCAGAACUGCCUUUGAUACUGAGAGUCUUGAGUUCGGGAGAGGUGAGUGGAACUGCGAGUGUAGAGGUGAAAUUCGUAGAUAUUCGCAAGAACACCAGUGGCGAAGGCGGCUCACUGGCCCGAUACUGACGCUGAAGCACGAAAGCGUGGGGAGCAAACAGG